AACUUUCAACAACGGAUCUCUUGGUUCCGGCAUCGAUGAAGAACGCAGCGAAAUGCGAUAAGUAAUGUGAAUUGCAGAAUUCCGUGAAUCAUCGAAUCUUUGAACGCACAUUGCGCCCCCUGGUAUUCCGGGGGGCAUGCCUGUUCGAGCGUCAUUGCAAACCCCUCAAGCACG
rnacentral:rRNA from 2 species